UACGUAGGGGGCUAGCGUUAUCCGGAAUUACUGGGCGUAAAGGGUGCGUAGGUGGUUUCUUAAGUCAGAGGUGAAAGGCUACGGCUCAACCGUAGUAAGCCUUUGAAACUGGGAAACUUGAGUGCAGGAGAGGAGAGUGGAAUUCCUAGUGUAGCGGUGAAAUGCGUAGAGAUUAGGAAGAACACCAGUGGCGAAGGCGAUUCUCUGGACUGUAACUGACGCUGAGGCUCGAAAGCGUGGGGAGCAAACAGGAUUAGAUACCCCCGUAGUCCCUGAGCGGG
rnacentral:rRNA from 1 species